rnacentral:lncRNA from 1 species
AUAUAAGCCUUUCUCAGGACGUAACACAGGCAACACGGAAAGAGCUGGCUUGCGAGCUCCCUGCUUAACAGAAGGCUCAGUUGCCCAAGUGACGAAGGCAUUGUGGGGCACGAACCAGGCUUUGGUGAAUUUAUCUCAUUAUACACCAGGAGUUAUAAUUUAAAAACCAGUGUCAUAUAAAGAAGAAAAAAGAUAUGGUGAGAUACAAUACCAUUAACACUUCUUCAGAAACGGAUUUUAAAGCAGAACUUCCAUGACUGUGAAAUCCAACCGGGUGCGCGACCACGAGGAAGGAUGGCGAGGGAGGAAACCGCGCUUUGUUGUUGAGGUGUUCACGGAUAAUGAAGCUGAUGUGAGAGCCCUGGAGAGAAACAUCAGUCAAAGGCAUGCAGGGAAUCCCAUCCAGCGUCCCUCUACUCUCCUCUGCAGCUUCCAUGGUUGGAAUGCUGAGCCAUUGCUAGGACGAUGAGGCUACAGGAAAGUGAAAUGCACCUGCUGCGAUCUGAUCCAACUGACCACUCCUGCUGCUCCUCCCUUGCACCUCAGGCAUCUCCUUCCAAUCUGGAGGAAACACUUUUACCUCCACUUUUCUUUUACAGUCCUCCAAACUCUGUUCCUUCUAGGGAGCACAAGUACAGAAAUAGAAACCUGGACUCCCAUCAUCCUGCUUCACAAACUUACAAUGUUAAAGAAAGAAAAAAAAAAAGACCAAGUACAUUACCUGGUAGAAUUGGAGAGAUGGGCACGAAAGAGCUGUAAAUACAGUUAGAAAACACACUAGCAUUUACAAAUGUGUAUGAGAAACAAUGAGGAGGAUUUUCAGAGACUAUCAUAACCAUUUAUUUUUCUAAUAUGUGAUAAGUAAACGCACAGAAAAUCAAUUUAAUAUUUGGGGCUUUUAUUUCUCAUUUUUUAGAUUGCCAGAAAGACUGUCCAGUGUUAUAAAGUUUGUGUCAAUAUUCUGGAAUUGGCAAUUUUGUCAUUUAUAUGGGAGAAAUAGCUAAAGGUGUAGUAUAAAGUAUUUGCUCGUAGGUAAUGGAAUGUUACCUUUACCCAAAGAUAUAAAAAAUAAACGGUAGAACAAAAACUC